GUGCUCGCUUCGGCAGCACAUAUACUAAAAUUGGAAUGAUACACAAAAGAUUAGCAUGGCCCCUGCGCAAGGAUGACACGCAAAAAUUAAGUUAAAAUUUAAUUUUAA